GGUACCCUGCACCUACAAACACAUUCCUCAAGGCUUGCACAUCUCUGCAUCUUAAGAGGCUUAGCAGAUUCAACAUCUUCACAAGGAAAUUCUAAACAAAAAUUAUGCUCCAGUUGCUUCAUAUGAGCAUAUUGCAAGUUGCUUUUCCAUUCUUUUUCAAGAACUGUAUUGAACUUAAAACUAAGUAAAUGAAAAAAUAUGUACAAUUGGGAAAAGAUCCAUUAGAAUUAAAUUACAGUUAUUGGAAACUACUGACACACUUCAAAUAUUUCUAGUUCUCCCUUUCUUAUUUCUUUUCUUUCUUUCAAUAUAUAAUGGACUUGUUCAGUAAGUGAAACAGACUGCUUCAGUAGCCCAUCAUGCACUUUGUUUUUGCUAACCUUUUGUCUGCUUUUAUAUCUUGCCACUUUAGCAAGGAGAGGUAUGGCAAAAGCCUUCUUUCAGACUGUUUUUCAUUUAAACUUGCUGCAGAUUAUUUGACAGGUUUUGUUUGUCCCAAGUGCAUCUCCAGGUUCAUUGUAAUGGAUACCAGAGUCUUUGACAGCACUGGUAAGUAAAACAUGGGGUGUCUAUGGGAUGUUUAGAUACUCAACAGUAGCUUCUAAACUUCCAGGCAUGACCUUGGCUAUACAGCAUCCCUCUUACCCCUGUAACAUUUUACACAGUUUCACAUGCAUUCUCCUUUUUUUUUUUUUCCUUACAAAGUAAUAUAAAACUACUUCCCCACUCUUUUAAAUGUCAAAGAUACACACUGGGGAUAACACAGGAAAAGGUUUUGUUUAAAAUGGUCUCAGCAACACUGAAGCAACUAAUGUUUUAUUAUGUUGCCUGGUGAACUAACCCUAGAGCAAAUAAUGCAGGAAGAUGAAUAUGUUUUGAAGGCCUUUGAGAACAAUGACUAUUAUUCAAAUGUAUCCUAACUGCAGAAACAUGCCUAAAAAAUAAAUCUUUUAUUUACACAGAGAGAAUACAUAAAGCGUUCAUUAUCUUUUAGAAAAGUUUCAUUGCUUACUUUAUAUGUGAGCCAAAAAACCUACCUCUGUAUUUAUGCUAGUCUAAAUAUUUCAUAAACUCUCCUGCUAUAAUCUUGACGGUUUGAUUUCCAAGCUUACCGUUGGUAUUUAGAGCCAGAGUUUCACUGAUGUUCAAGAACAUGCGCGUGGUUUGUGUCACAGCUGUCUCCAUGUGUAGGAGAUGAAGUAAGUCUCUGUCCAUACCUUAGAUACUGUGCCCACCACUUAAAUUUCAGCAUGCCAUUGCAAUGGAGUUUCUUAGCACAGAGAUGCAAAUAAUAUCCCUUCAAGAUGUUUCAUAGCUGAGCUCCAAUCACACAAAGCAACAUAUACUUUUCAUUACUGAUAUCGUACGUUCUUUCUCAGAAUCUGUUAUGAAAUUUUUCUGUAAGUCAACGUAUUUCUUCUCCCUCCCCAAACAAUACAAAAUAGUAAGAGAAUAAUAGUUGUUGAGGGUAAAAAGAAUACUAGACUUGGCUGCAUGUGUCUUAUUUUUAAAGCUUUGUUGGAUGCAUGUAGAAUGUGUGCUUUUUGUUUAAGUGUUCUUAGUUUGAAAGAGUGAGAUGGAUUGUACUUUUCUCCAUUACUGUCUUUUUGGUGCAUCUUCACAUAGGAAUGUGUUUGUCUCUUGGGAAGUUGGCAGUGUAAGUGACUGAAAAACUAGCUAAUAAAUCUGGGAUUAAUAGGGCUGUAGACAGCAAAGUACACAGGCGUAGGAAGGAUCACCAGCCACUGAAUGCUGCACAUCUAGAAACUGUCAAUAGAGAGUAUGAAAAAUGCAAAGGACAAAGCAAAACUAGGAGAAGUUCCAGCUCGUUUUUCUGCUUGCUGAAGCAAUCUCUCACAUCAGCAUAUCCUGGUCCCCUAGGGAAGAGUUGUUCUAAGGGCUUGAUCUUGCUUCUAUUCACAGCUGAAAAAAGUCUCCUUUUAACCUGAAGUGGAUAGGAUCAGAUCUUUAAAGAUCGUCUCUCCGAAAAUAAAACCAGCAAAAGUAACAAUGCUUAAUGUUAUACUAUACUCUGUAUACAAAAUAGCUCUCUAUUCUUAUGUCAAAAUAUGCUCAAAUUAAUUUAGAGGUAUUUAGAAAUGGGUAUUAGAUCUUCAAAGCUGAUUAUUCCAGUUCUCUUAAUUAGUGGACCAAACGACUGAUACAGCUGCUGUGCACUUGUGAUAUUGAGGACAAUUUCUAUCUGAGGGGGAAACAUGAUGAAAUUUUCUGUGUGCUGAAUUAAAUCUCUUGAAGUUGAUUGUGGCCAGGAAUGUAAGUAAAUCAGCAUGGUGCUCUUGAAUUCAGUGGAGCCAUACUGUUGGCUGUUACCUGUGAUUGAUUGUCAUUGAAUAAUGCAAUGAAAUUCUUUGUUUAUUAACACAAGUAUAAAACAAGAAAGGGAGAAAAGCUGCUACCUUUCUACAAAAACUGGUCAAAGAAAUGAGAAUUACCAAAGGUUUGUGUCUUUGAUGUACUCUCCUUUUACCUAAAGCUGUCAUAAAUACCAACAAACAAACCUAUGAACCUCACAGGAACAUGGGUACAUCUACAGAAUUCUUCAUUGUUUGGAAGGGCGAUGUGAAGGGAGGUACUCAGGGUGUCAGGUGAGCACAGCACCUCAUUUACUAUUGCAUAAGUAAUCCUGCUGAUUAUAGACUAAAUGAAGUGUGUGGUUAAGUGCCAGAUUGUUCCGGUGUCAAAAUCUCCGCUUAAGUGGAAUAUAUGUAUUUAAGUUUUGCAGUGAUCUUGUGCUCCUGGGACUUAGUAGAUUCCACUUAGAUCAGCUGAGCAGCUUCUAUUAUUUUUGGUGGACAUCGUUUAAGGCCUCUGUUAAAAAUUCCUCAUGUCUGGCCAUGCUAAACUGAAAGGGCAGUAUUGAAAGUUAGAGGUGGUCAUGCAACUCACUUUCAGAGAACCCAGAUCCAGAGUGUGCUGGACUCCAUGCUUUUGUUUGCUCUCAGCCUCUCUUAAAUGUAAGGGGAGAGAAUCUUUUUCUAGAAGCACUUAGAACUAGAUAUUAAUCCAUGAACGUGGAGGUAUCAGAAUUCCUCAUUACCCAAAUAUCUGGAAAUUGGCCUUCCUCUGAAGUUCCUACACAAUUUUAGAACAAAUGUGACAAUUAUAUCUGCAAAUGAGGAAAAGUAUGUUCUGCAAUAAGACUCACCUGGACAACAAAGUAAAAUGCUUAAGGAACAACAUUCUUUAAUUUUCAGGCUCACCUUUAGUGGAAUGUGAUUUAGUAGAUUCAUUGUCUACCACUGGCUCAGCCUUUGCUGUCUAAACAUAGGAUGUGCUGGUCAGGUCCAUACAUUCCCUCUCACCAUUAAGGAGAAGCUGGCAGCUCUGAGUGGAGCAGGGUGAAGACAGGUACUGAACUGUGUGCUGGAGGCUGCUGUUGGCUACAGAAGGAGUUUAAGUGACCAGCUGAGGUCAACUUCUAGGUGGGUAAAGCCAGGUGAGAUGCAUACUACCUCUAGCAAAUGAGGAAUGUUGUUGGAAGCCUUUCUCUCUGACCUUCAGGAAAAUACAUGCUAAGAUGCUGCAGUCCAGCUGUCAGCCAGAAGGUUGCAUUCUCACUGAAAGUGGGUUUGAUACUUAAAGGAGAGAUGGAUAAUUAAGACUUCAUCCUCCAAAAUAUUAAAUAUUGAUUUGUAGACAUUUAGAAGCAGGCAUAAAGCUCUCCUGAGAACUGGCAGCAACUGUAAAAGAUUAUAAAAGAUUUUAGUUCUCCGUGUAGAAUUUAGUAUUUAUUUUUUGUUUAAAAUUUAUGAAAUGGGGGUAAAAUAAAUCAGGAGGUAACAUCUGGCCCUCUGAGCACCUCCAAGUCCUGCUCCAUGUGACCAUUCAGAGGCAAAAUGGAUGUAUGUUUUUUUUCAGGUUUGUAUUGGCUUUUGGUUUAUUGAAGUGUCAGGGGGUUUAUAAGCUCUUCAACUCCAAUUUUUAUUGUUUUAUCCAACUACUGUCACUUCUUAUCAGUAUUAAAGGCAGAAAUCAAAGCACAGGACCCAUGGGAAGCGGCGUUUCAAAUGUACUCCAUCGCUUUUCUUUGUCAUUGUUCUGAACUAUGCACCCUCUGCUCCUGACAGCACACCCACAACGAGAUAAGGAGUUUGUAUGAGUAUGCAUAUGUGUCUUCUGUGGGAAAAGGAGCAAUGGCUUGCCCCGCACACUGCCCACCAGAUUGGAAGAAGAUAUAAUGAAUGCAUCUUCUCUGCAUCACAAGAAAAAGGCUAUUUCAACUUAACAGAACAUUUCAAUCUCAGUCAAAAUGGGGCAUCUUCAACAUAAGGUUGUCUGCAGUCAUGCGGUCUGCUCUGCUUCCCCAGCUCACUGGAGCCCACCUCCAGGCAGCCCAGGGCUCGGGAACCCUCUGUGCAGUGCCCUGGAGAACAGAGGGUGCAGCUGAGGAUUGGAGUAUAAAGGAAAAGAAAAGGUAUCUACUGCAGGUGCUCUCCAGCCCACUGAUUGCAUUUUCUUUGUCCUUCUGGAAUAGAGCUGGGUGACAUCUUACAGUCAAAUCCUAUUUCCCAUUAAAAAUGCAGA